UUGUGUAGGCGAUACCAAGCGAUUGUCCCUUCGGGGACAUCCGAUAAAAUUGGAACGAUACAGAGAAGAUUAGCAUGGCCCCUGGGCAAGGAUGACACGCACAAAUCGAGAAAUGGUCUAAAUUUUUUUUCUAAAUUACCAAUUGUUGUGAUUUUACGACCUUACCCCUCCCAGAUUUAUCGUUUUCUCCUCUGGCCGUGGAGAGCUCGCAGUAUCCAUGGCUUCCUUCUUGGUCGUCGUCUUCUUCCGACACCGGAGAUCCAAGAAGAUGUCAACUUAUUGUUGCUAUUCACCAAGAUCAUAAGCAUCAAAUAUUUGUUCAUUCAGCUCAAACUGUGACAACAUCAUCCGAUGAUCCAAGAAGAUACCAAGCAUUUGAUCGCAUUUGAUCGCUUCCCCCUCACAGCACAGGGGAAGUAGUUGACACCCUUGACAUAAUGAACAGAUGAACCCUCAUGGAGUGACAAUAGAUUCUGCACUAUAGGCCUCCAAAAGACUGCCCUGCCAUGGCUAUUUGCUUGCUCUUCUUUCUAAAAUGGAAAGGGAACGCUGUUUCUUAAGGCGUGCCAACCUGGUGACCAGUAGCUUACUAACCAUAGUGAGGGACGUGUUGAGCCGUGUGGUUGCGGAGGGUACGUUAAUCCGAGUUUUGUGAACUACUCGUUUAUAACUUUUGAAACACCCUCAACCCUUGGUUUGUGAAUGAAUUCUGUUGGGUACACCUUUAAAACUUACUAGUAUUGUUAUAAUAAUUUGUAUUCUCAUGCA